CGGGGCUUAACCCCGGGUCUGCAUUCGAUACGGGCAGGCUAGAGUGUGGUAGGGGAGAUCGGAAUUCCUGGUGUAGCGGUGAAAUGCGCAGAUAUCAGGAGGAACACCGGUGGCGAAGGCGGAUCUCUGGGCCAUUACUGACGCUGAGGAGCGAAAGCGUGGGGAGCGAACAGGAUUAGAUACCCUGGUAGUCCACGCCGUAAACGUUGGGAACUAGGUGUUGGCGACAUUCCACGUCGUCGGUGCCGCAGCUAACGCAUUAAGUUCCCCGCCUGGGGAGUACGGCCGCAAGGCUAAAACUCAAAGGAAUUGACGGGGGCCCGCACAAGCAGCGGAGCAUGUGGCUUAAUUCGACGCAACGCGAAGAACCUUACCAAGGCUUGACAUAUGCCGGAAACACCUGGAGACAGGUGCCCCCUUGUGGUCGGUAUACAGGUGGUGC
rnacentral:rRNA from 1 species